CAUAAACAGGUCUGAGCACCUGAGUGUGGUAGAAGCUUGGAAAACCCCUGAGAAGAAGAAAACAUCUUGAGACAUAACAGAAAAUAAGAGAUUGUUGAGAAACAGCAGCAUACAAUAACAAUGCAGCUGGAAGGCUGAGGAGAUGGGGUAAGGGCCAAGGGAACAAAGAAAGACUGACAGUGUGGACGCCAGGGAGCGUGGGCCAGCAGCACCAUCUGGGGUGGUAAGACUCUGGAACUGCUUUGACCAAUUAAACACAGCAGAAGUGACAUCAUGCUGGUUUCCUCCCCUAAGGCACUGGCAGCUUCCUCUUCCUAUCUCUUGAAACUCACUCUUGGAGUCCUGAGGCCUGAGUGUAAAGAUUCCAACUACCAACUGGAGAGACCAUAUGGAGAGAUCUUCAGCUCAUCUGGUGAGGGAGAGCGGCUCAGCAGAGUCAUUGCGGUCAAGAUACUAGGCAGAAACAGAGAGAGGAGACAUCUUAAUGAGGACAGCAGAACACAUGAGAAACUAAUGAAAAGAACACGACGAUGCCCCAGAGGUGCCUAAUACAUUGUGAAUUCCAUUAUAAAUAAAAUCUGAUUAUUUUUA